GAGAGAGAGAGAGAAAGAAAGAGAGAGAGGGAGGCGCUGCAUCAACCCAGCAUACAGCAGCAGGCUAGGUUUAGGGAUCUAUUGUUCCCUGUUUUAUUACUGCCAGACCUUGUUCUCUCCCAUUAACGAUCCAAGACAGAAAGAGAAACAGAGAGGACGAGGAGAGCGAGAGGAGACCUCAGCCCCGUUCGCCCGGGAUUAGCCUACUUCUUCUUGAAUGCACUGGUGUGGACAAAGCAGAAGCAGAAAACACUUGAGUCCAGCGCUCUACCUCGUGGCCAGGCUUGCUUUUCUUUCCUCUUCACUGCAUUGGGAACUACAGUACUUGCUGUGCCAUGGGGCUGGCCAGCAGAGCCAUGGGGACGCUGGGGAUCUCGAGAGGGGCACCGCUCCCCUCUCUCUGGAGGAUAGCGCUGCUCUUUCUCUCCAUGUGGGAGCUGAAUGCACAAACCGCAGUGGAAACUAAACCCCUAUACAUCUGGCAAACAGGUCCAUGGGGUCGUUGUAUGGGCAGUGAGUGCGGGCCUGGUGGCAGCCAGAGCAGGGCAGUAUGGUGUGCCCACUCUGAAGGCUGGACCACCCUGCACACCAACUGUGACCAGACAGAACGGCCAGACAACCAGCAGAGCUGCUUCAGAGUGUGCGAUUGGCACAAAGAUCUGUACGACUGGCAGCUGGGUGCCUGGAACCAGUGUGUCCCAGUGUCGAUGCGCAGUGCUGGGGUGCAGCGACCCGCUGUGUGUACCCGGGGAGAGGAGGGCAUCCAGACCCGUGACGUGGGCUGCGUCCAGAAAGCGAAUGGAGAGCCCACAGAGGAUGCAAUCUGCGAAUACUUUGAGCCUAAACCACGCCUAGAGCAGGCCUGUCUUAUCCCCUGUCCACGGGACUGUGUGGUGUCUGAGUUCAGCCCGUGGACUCCAUGUACUAAAACCUGUGGAAUGGGCUUGCAGAACCGGAUCCGUUUCGUUCUGGCUCCGCCACUGUUUGGAGGGGCAGCCUGCCCAAACCUGACUGAGUUUCAGACAUGCCAGCCAUGGCCCUGUGAGGGAGAGCAGAGUCUCUACAGCCUCAGGGUGGGACCCUGGGGGCCCUGCUCUGUCCUGAUGUUAAGGCAGGCUAGACAAGCUGACAAACCAUCCAAGGAAAGUGAUAAACUUUCCAAAGAGGGUGACAGACAGUCUAGAGAGGGUGAAGAACAUUCCAAAGGGGGUGACAAACAAUCCGCAGAGGAUCUCAAGCUGUCUAGUGAGGGUGACAAACAGUCAAAACGCGGGGACAAACAGACCAGAGAGGGUGAUAAACAGCACAAAGAAGGAGGCAAAGGGUCCAAAAAGGGUGAUAAAUUGUCCAGAGAUGGUGACAAACCAUCCAGACCCAACAGAAAAUUGGGCAGGGCAAACAGGAAACCAGACAGGCCAUCUCGGCAGGCAGACAGGCCCAAACGACAGAAAAAGACUAAAAACAAAGAGAAAAUGAGAGAGAAAGUCCGGGAGAGGUUAAGAGAGAGGGGUAAGGUGAAGGAUCCAGAGACCAGAGAACUCAUCAAGAAGAAGAGGAACAGGAACCGUCAGAAUCGCCCAGGAGGAAAGUUCUGGGACCUUCAGAUCGGCUACCAGACUAGAGAAGUGACCUGUGUGCAUAAGAGUGGGAAUGUUGAAGAUCUCAGUCUGUGCUCUCAGGAGACGUUGCCGGUGACCUUCCAGGCCUGCGUCAUGACCAAAGACUGCGAUGUGACUGAAUGGUCUGAAUGGUCAGCAUGCUCCAAGGAGUGCAACGACCCCAACGGGCCCAUGGGGGAGCGCACUCGCACCAGAAAAAUUAGCCAGUUCCCAAUCGGUGGAGGAGCAGAUUGUCCAGAGCUGGAGGAGAAGGAGCCCUGCAGCCCCCAGAGAGACAGAGUGCCACCCUGCAUUGUUUACAGCUGGAAGACUACAGAAUGGACAGAGUGCAGGGUGGAUGUGCUGCUGAGCCAACAGGACCGUCGGCGUGGAAACCAAACAGGAUUGUGUGGAGGCGGGAUUCAGACCCGAGAGGUCUACUGUGUCCAGACCAGCGCUGAUUCACCACCCAACCUCGGCUCGCUCAGGAGCAAAGAAGUGUUGCGACCAAUGGACAGUGAUCUGUGUCUGGGUAUCACGCCGAACACCACCCAGCUCUGCCAUAUCAGCUGUCCUGUUGAGUGUGAGGUGUCUUCGUGGAGUGCCUGGGGACCCUGUACCUGGGAAAACUGUCAGGACCAGGCAGCCAAAAAAGGCUUCAAACUGAGGAAGAGAAAGAUUGUCAAUGAGCCAACGGGUGGGACGGGGAACUGCCCCCACCUGGUGGAAGCAAUACCGUGUGAAGACCCCAGCUGCUACGACUGGCUGGUGGUUAAACUGGAGGAGUGCAUCCCUGAUAAUGAGAAGGAGGAGUGUGGACCAGGAACCCAGAUCCCACAAGUGCAGUGUGUCAACAGUGAUGGUGAAUAUGUGGAGAGGCAGCUUUGCCGUGAUGCCAUCCUGCCCAUGCCGGCUAUCUGUGAGGUGCCUUGCCCAAAGGAUUGUGCCCUGAGCCCCUGGACCCCCUGGUCUCUGUGCUCCCACACCUGCUCUGGAAAAAAUGCGGAGGGCAAGCAGACCAGAGCUCGCUCCAUCCUCGCCUAUAACGCAGGGGAAGGUGGAAUCCAGUGUCCCAACAUCAGUGCCCUGCAGGAGGUGAGGAACUGCAAUGACCAUCCCUGCACUGUGUACCACUGGCAGACCGGCUCGUGGGGGCAGUGCAUAGAGGACUCCUCCAUCCCGGCCACCAACACAUCUGUGGGCCGAACACGUGGCGACGAUGCCUCCUGCUCAGUGGGGAUGCAAACCCGCAAGGUCAUCUGUGUCAGGGUCAAUGUGGGCCAGGUUCCUCCGAAAAAAUGUCCGGAGAGUCUGCGCCUAGACACCGUCAGGCCCUGCUUACUGCCAUGCAAGAGAGACUGUAUCGUCACCCCAUACAGCGACUGGAGCCCCUGCCCAUCAACAUGUCAAGCAGGUGGUAAUACCAAGAAGAAGCAGUACAGGAAACGUAUUAUCAUACAGUCACCAGCCAAUGGGGGACAAGACUGUCCUGAAGUGCUUACCCAGGAGAGAGAGUGUGAUGCUCCAUCUGUCUGUCAAGGAUACAGAUGGAAAAUCCACAAGUGGCGGCGAUGCCAGCUGGUUCCAUGGUCAGUUCGCCAGGACAGUCCAGGAGCUCAGGAGACCUGUGGGCCAGGCCUUCAGGUUCGGGCUGUUUCGUGCCGGAAGCAGGAUGGUGGGCAGGCAGACGUUGAAGCUUGUCUUAAGUUUGCCAGCUCCAUGCCACCUCUCACACAGCUCUGCCAGCUGCCCUGCCAGGAAGACUGUCAACUCAGCAGCUGGUCCAAGUUCUCCCCCUGCGCAGCCGAUUGCGUGGGUGUCAGGACCCGCAGGAGGAUGCUAGUUGGGAGGAGCAAAAAGCAGGACCAGUGUAAAAACCACCAGAUGUAUCCCGUGAGCGAGACCCAGUACUGCCCAUGUAACAAAUACAAUGCUCAGCCUGUGGGUAACUGGUCGGACUGUGUCCUACCUGAGGGCGGCCGCAUGGAGGGUCAACUCGGCAUGAAGGUCCAAGGUGACAUCAAGGAGUGUGGCCAAGGAUAUCGUUACCAGGCCACGGUGUGCUAUGACCAGGACAACCGUAUAGUGGAGACCUCUCGCUGUAACAGCCAUGGGUACAUUGAGGAGGCUUGCAUCAUCCCCUGUCCAUCUGACUGCAAACUGAGUGAAUGGUCCAACUGGUCACGCUGCAGCAAGUCCUGCGGCAGUGGGGUCAAAGUUCGCUCCAAGUGGCUCAGAGAAAAGCCCUACAAUGGCGGGAGGCCAUGUCCUAAACUGGACCAUGUCAACCAGGCUCAGGUGUAUGAGGUGGUGCCGUGCCUCAGUGACUGUGGGCAACAUGUCUGGGUGGCAGAGCGCUGGAGUGUGUGGAAGGUCAGCAAUGUGGACCUGAAGGAUAACUGUGGUGAAGGUGUUCAGACCAGGAAAGUCAGAUGUAUGCUGAACACCAUAGACGGGCCCUCUGAGCAGGUGGAGGACUACCUGUGUGAUCCAGAGGAAAUGCCUCUGGGGGCUCGCAACAGCCGGCUGCCCUGCCCCGAGGACUGUGUGUUAUCAGACUGGGGAGCCUGGAGCCCAUGUCCACUGCCAUGCAGUGCGAACAGUACUCGGGAGAGGAGUGCUUCCCCGCUCCGCCAGCCUGGAGAGGAGAAGGCGUGUCCUCCCACUAAAGAGACAGAGCCCUGCAGACUCAACAGCAACUGCUUCCACUACUCCUACAACAUCACUGACUGGAGUACUUGUCAGCUCAGUGAGAGAGCAGUGUGUGGAAACGGCAUCAAAACCCGCAUGCUGGACUGCGUGCGUAGCGACGGAAAAUCUGUUGACCUCAAGCUCUGCAAAGAGCUGGGCCUGGAGAGGAAGUGGCAGAUGAAUGCUUCCUGUGUUGUGGAAUGUCCCGUCAACUGCCAGCUGUCUGAUUGGUCACCAUGGUCUGAGUGCACCCACGACUGUGGACUGGCAGGCAGGCUGUGGAGGAGGCGGACAGUGAUCCAGGCUCCCCAGGGCGAUGGGAGGCCGUGUCCGUCCCAGAUGGAGCAGUGGAAGCCCUGCCUGGUGAAGCCCUGCUACAGCUGGAGAUAUAGUGCCUGGUCUGAGUGCAAGUCUGAGGGGGCGAGGUGUGGAGAAGGCCUGCGCUUCAGGAAUGUGUCGUGCUUUGUGUCGGAUGGUUCAGGUCAGCAGGACAGCAGCCUGGUGGACGACGAGCUGUGUGGAGAUCUGGAACCCUCAGUGGACGGAGAUACGCACAUCGUUCUGCAGGAAGCCUGUACUGUACCCUGUCCAGGAGAGUGCUACCUGACAGACUGGACUGUUUGGAGUCCGUGCCAGCUAAUCUGCGUGAGCGGGGAUGACCUGGGUUUCGGCUCAGUCCAGGUCAGAUCCCGAGCCGUGGUGGCCCAGGAUCCAGAGAACCUGCUGCAGUGCCCAGAACAGGAGCUGGAAGCUCGGCCAUGUACAGAGGGCCAGUGUUUUGAAUACAAGUGGAGGACUGGACCAUGGAGGGGUUCAUCUCGCCAAGUCUGGUGUCAGCGGUCAGAUGGACUAAAUAUCACAGGUGGAUGCCCAGCGACAGCCAAGCCGAUGGCUGACCGAUCCUGUGACCCACCCUGCACCAAGCCACGCUCCCUGUGCACAGAGGCGGGAGUGUGUGGCUGUGAGGAGGGUUACACUGAAGUGAUGACGUCUGACGGCCUGCUGGACCAGUGCACGGUCAUCCCGGUGCUGGAGAUCCCCACUGCGGGUGACAACAGGGCCGACGUCAAGACCAUCCGAGCCUUCAACCCCACUCAGCCUGCAGCCAGCACACCAGGGAGGGUGGGACGCACCUGGUUCCUGCAGCCCUUCGGCCCAGAUGGGAAGCUGAAGACCUGGGUGUAUGGAGUGGCAGCAGGAGCGUUUGUUCUGCUGGUCUUUAUAAUCUCCAUGACAUACUUAGCAUGUUACUGUGGUUGUUGCCUUUUCUGCAAGCCGAGCUGGAUGGACCCAAACAGCCACACUGUGCCCUACACCUGUCCUGCCUGCCAGAAACUAGAGCAGGACGAGUUGCAGCGGCACAGUCAACUCCAACAGCAACAGCAGCAGCAGCAGCAAUAUGAGGCACUGCUCCAACAGCCUCCACCAUCACAACAACAACCACGGCAGCAGCAGUCACUGCCACCCCCACCACCUCACUAUGAAACGCUCAUCACUUAGUCAGGGCCUCACCCCACCCUGCUGUAGCUCACUGCACCUGACAUUCAUUUGUACCCAAACACUUCCAUUGCCUGUGCACUCAUUUUAGUGGAUCACUUCCUUGAGGUGAGCAGUCCAGAUGCCAUCAAACACACCAUACAACUGCAGACUGCACUUUAUAGCAAAAAGCCAAAGAGGCCGCAGCGACGGCAGAUGAACAACAGACUGAAGCCGCUGACUCUGGCCUACGACGGAGACGCCGACAUGUAAAAGUUUUCCUGCUGACCACACUGACCUACAGACAUUCGUCCUUAUGCAGGACACACAGGGUUGCUAUGGAAACGCCUUGAUGUCAGGGCUGCCGCCGGGCAUUGUUCACCCAACAGGUGGACACCCUGGGAAGAUGAUUCUGACAGAAAGAGAAACCUCAAAGAUCAAGACACUGAAUCCAUGUCCAUUAGUAGCCUUGAUGUCCCUGUCCUCUUUUUUAACUUCCAUUUUGAUACUCUGUUUCACAAGAGCCUUCAUGAAUUGUUAAUCUUCUUUUGGAAGUCUGCUUUUGCUUCUCUGCCAUCUACUACUGCCGGUAACAUCCAAACCAUGGUCGUCUAAAAACACAGAUUUGGCUCUAAAAACACAAUUCUCCUUUGGUCUUUUUGUUAAUUUUGUCACAGCUGAGUGACAUCAUCUCUUUAGGAUACUCCUUCUUUGUCCCACGAAUAAGAACAUUCUGGCCUGGGUCCAUCAGCAAGAAAAGAUAAAACCAGAGAACAAAAGCGUAAUGAUUCCCAGAGCCACUGUCACUUCUGCCUGCCUCUCCCUUCUCCAUUUUCAGGCAUAAUUUUGCACUAUAUUAGUGCAGCAUGAUAUGUACUUAUCUAGCUUUGCCAUAGGAAACUGCCUCUCUCAAUACAAGAUGGUAUACAGUCUUGUGCUAGAAAUGUAAAAAAGUAGACUUUUUUUGCAAACAGAACUCACUAAUGUUUGUUAAUAUUUUUCUUCUAUUACCUCUUGUGUGUGAUAUGAUGGGACUCAAUGUAAAUAGGAUUUUUUUUCUGUGUUCUCAAAUGUACCUUUCUAGUAUGUACAGUUACACGUCCCAAACUCUCUGAGUUCAUUUAUUUUUUGACGAUUUUUUGACUGUGGCUUUUAGAUCAUGAUCUUUUACUUUUGUAAAUUAUACACAUAUAUACAUACACAUUACUAUCAUCGACUCAGGCUGCAGGAAAUACAUAGAAACCCCUUCCAUUAUGAAACCUUUUAGCUGUGAUAUGAGAAGAAGAAAAGAGGAAACAAAACCAGAGGAUGGAGGAAGAUGCUCUGGAAUCUUGGCUUCAAGUAUUCAGAUGUAUAAAGGCCUGUGACAUUUGAGUUUGGAGAUUACUAUUGGAAUUCAGUUCAAAUAAAUCAAAGUCUGAGGAAAAUAUCAGACUUCUGAUGAAAAGUAUCAGAAGUCAGAGAUGAUAGAAUACUGGCUUCUUUGAUUCUGACUUACAUCUCAGAAUUCUUUCAUUCUUAGUCAAAAGAUUUUUGUGUUCCUUGAUUUCCUUGUAAAGGUCUCAGUGUGCUUCAAACUAACUAGUUCAUAUGAUGCAUCCCCUGACCAUGUCUGAAGGCAAAAGUGUUUAAACUUGCAGGUUCUGAAUGGCCACACUCCAAGAGAGGGUGAAAAGCCUGCUGUCAUAGCCUCCUCCUGGCUGCAUCCCACUGCCUUCUCGAUCUAUCUCCAAGAACUCUCAGCCUUUUGUGUGGUUUUGUAGUCUAGAGACAAUGAAUGGGGAUAACAACACAGUCAUGGUGUUGUACUCGGUUGUGUGAAGAAUGAAAAAAGAGCUAAGGAAGAAGUUCAAAUGUCCACACACCAGGACCAAUGGCUGGGUAAAGGGGGUUUCAGAUACUGUUAGGCAAUCUCACAAGCACUUAGCUUGAAGCAUUUUGGGAACUUAAAGGUGCCAGUAUACUGACACCAGAACUGCUUGUCAGAUGGUCGAACACCUUCGUAAACCCCCUCACCCAACCCCUUUCCAACAUCGGAUGGAUGGGGGUGUCUCAAUCGGACAUUCACACCCACUUCACAUAGUGAUUGGCCAGCUGUGUAGAGGUGAGAAAGGAGCCAGGGUUUGAACUUCUCGCUCCUCUGUCUCUCUUUUUUCAUUCUUUACUCUGAGUACAACAUGUGCUGUUAUCCCCAUAUUUCACAUCUUCCCCCUCACUAUGACACUGAGCUUUUCACUGGCCUUCAAAUACGGCAGUUUUGGAAUAGUUAUACACACUUGAUUUCCAACAUGGUCGGACAACAAGUCAUACGGACUAGUUCUUUUCUAGCAUAACCCGGCCCUAAGAGUUUAGUGAGUCUGAUGGACUGGAUGAGACUGUUCUGUUCCAAAGGCUCCUCCAAAUUUGGUAGAUACUGUAAACAUAGCUUUCUUUUUCACAAAUUUGGAGGACAAAACCUGGCCCUUAAUAUCCCAAAAUUUCUUGGAUGGAGCAAUUCACUGAUCCUUAUCAACUUGGAAUGUAAGGAAAUAAAACACAAUCCCAUCACGUUCAUCACGUAUUUUCCUUCAGGUAGUGACUGUUAAAUCAAUUGCUUGAAGUAGACCAAUGAAAAUAAUGGAAGCCAGAAAUAAAUUCUACUGUUUGUUCUUGUUAGCAGCCUACACACAUUGUUCAUCACACUGUAUUAAGUUUUGACUUAAUUGAAAUAUCCCGCUGUAAACCUGGAUAUCAUGGAACCUGCAUGACUAACCUUUGGUAUUUACACUUUGUUGGCCAAUUUGUUGUUUUGACAAGGAGUGCACAAAAGAACCAUCAGUUUUGGUCUCUGGGACAUCCCCCCAACAAGUCUGUAGUUAUAAAUUUAAGUUAUUAAUGUGUUAUUAAUCACCCAAAAGGUUCCAAUUUGAAUUUACACAGGUCUUUGUGAGACGUCCUGUCUCUAUCAACUUACAAUGCCCUCAAAUCCAGUCUAAUGUUGUAUGCUGUAGUACACCAGGAAACAAAUAAUUCUCUGUAGACAUUCCUCUCUGUUCACAGUUACAGAAAAACUGUCUGAAAGACCUAAAGGAUUGCAUUCUGCCUUACAGGUUUUAUUCACCCAUUCAAGUGUUCAAUAACAUUCAUCUUAGUCAGCAAUGUAUCCCAGAGAGACUUUACCAAUCAACCAUUGUUGUGGUCUCCCUCUUAAAGAGCUUUCAGCCCAACUACUGUAUAUCACUCUGGGUGACUUUUAGUGCCCCAGCAUGGUGUAAAGUUCUUUCCAGAAGCUCUUCCACUGACAAAACUUUAGUUCAGGAGGAAUUAUUGUAUGGGAGUAUUUUGAAACCAUACAAUGCUGCCUGAUAAGCUAAAAGUGUAUUAUUUAUCAGUAUGAGACAUCAUAUCAUUGCCAGAGAAUGGCAUUUUAAUAUUCUGUGGAGUAUGUUACUAGUAAGUCAACGGAAUGUUUAAUUUAUAUUUUUUGGAAUGAGUUGUAAAUAAACCGCUAAAUAUUUCUUUUUUUAUUUAUUGUUCAUGUUCUAUAAUGUGUUUCCUUUUUUACUGCACAAGAUGUUAUGCCAAAAGAAAAAAAAAAGAAAAAAAAUGGAGGUGUGAGUGUGGGUUUGCUAAAAGCGAUAUUGACAACCUUGUGAAAUACAAAUUCGCUGAUGAACUCUGUCCUUUUGCUACUGUUUGUUUAUAUGUAUUUGACUAAUUGCUGUUAAUAAACAAGGUAAAUAUUUGAAAA